AGAAUCAACGCUGGCGGCGUGCCUCAGACAUGCAAGUCGAACGCGAAAGUCCCCUUCGGGGGACAAGUAGAGUGGCGCACGGGUGAGUAACACGUAGGUAAUCUACCUUCGGAUGGGGAAUAACAACCGGAAACGGUUGCUAAUACCGCAUAAUGCAGCGGCACCUAAUGGUGACAGUUGUUAAAGCGGGGGAUCGAAAGACCUCGCGCCUGAAGAGGAGCCUGCGGCGGAUUAGCUAGUUGGUAGGGUAACGGCCUACAAGGCGACGAUCC
rnacentral:rRNA from 1 species